GGAAAAGAAACUUCUUUUUUUUUCUUAAGAAAAAUUAAAUAAAUAUCAAAGAAACAAAGAAGUCAAAAUUUUCAACGUUCGAGUAAAACCCAACAUCUUAAAACACCCAAUCAUUGCUUUGCUACAUUCUUGAAGACUCUGACGUCUAAUUUCAGGAAAUUGACCAAUACAAAGAUGAAAAAGGAAAGAACAAGAAAAUCGAAGUUUCUCCUCAUAAUUUCAGUCUAAAAUUGACCAUCAGAAAUUUCAAAAGAGUUCAUAUAAAUCCAGAACUAUGAUUGUUGAAAUGAAUUUAGAACUGACACCGGAAUCACACUACGUUGAAAAUCCAAGAAUUAAAGAAGCAGAAGCUGGACAGACACAAAAUAAC
rnacentral:misc_RNA from 1 species